AACGAACGCUGGCGGCAUGCCUAACACAUGCAAGUCGAACGAGAUCUUCGGGUCUAGUGGCGCACGGGUGCGUAACGCGUGGGAAUCUGCCCUUUGGUUCGGGAUAACAGUUGGAAACGACUGCUAAUACCGGAUGAUGACGAAAGUCCAAAGAUUUAUCGCCAGAGGAUGAGCCCGCGUAGGAUUAGCUAGUUGGUGUGGUAAAGGCGCACCAAGGCGACGAUCCUUAGCUGGUCUGAGAGGAUGAUCAGCCACACUGGGACUGAGACACGGCCCAGACUCCUACGGGAGGCAGCAGUGGGGAAUAUUGGAAAAUGGGCGAAAGCCUGAUCCAGCAAUGCCGCGUGAGUGAUGAAGGCCUUAGGGUUGUAAAGCUCUUUUACCCGGGAUGAUAAUGACAGUACCGGGAGAAUAAGCUCCGGCCAACUCCGUGCCAGCAGCCGCCGUAA
rnacentral:rRNA from 1 species